GAUGAACGCUAGCGGCAGGCUUAAUACAUGCAAGUCGAGGGGCAGCGGGGGUAGCAAUACCUGCCGGCGACCGGCAACGGGUGCGGAACACGUACACAACCUUCCUUUAAGUGGGGGAGUAGCCCAGAGAAAUUUGGAUUAAUACCCGUAAUAUUGUUAAGUGGCAUCACUUGACAAUUAAAGCUCCGGCGCUUGAAGAUGGGUGUGCGUCUGAUUAGGUAGUUGGUAGGGGUAACGGCCCACCAAGCCAACGAUCAGUAACUGGUGUGAGAGCACGACCAGUCACACGGGCACUGAGACACGGGCCCGACUCCUACGGGAGGCAGCAGUAAGGAAUAUUGGUCAAUGGACGCAAGUCUGAACCAGCCAUGCCGCGUGGAGGAUGAAGGU
rnacentral:rRNA from 1 species